rnacentral:rRNA from 1 species
GACGAACGCUGGCGGCGUGCUUAACACAUGCAAGUCGAACGGAAAGGCCCCCACCUUGGUGGGGGUGCUCGAGUGGCGAACGGGUGAGUAACACGUGGGUGAUCUGCCCUGUACUUCGGGAUAAGCUUGGGAAACUGGGUCUAAUACCGGAUAGGACCAUGGUUUAGUGUCUCAUGGUGGAAAAAUUAUUGUUUUGGUGCAGGAUGAGCUCGCGGCCUAUCAGCUCGUUGGUGGGGUAAUGGCCUACCAAGGCGUCGACGGGUAGCCGGCCUGAGAGGGUGGACGGCCACAUUGGGACUGAGAUACGGCCCAGACUCCUACGGGAGGCAGCAGUGGGGAAUAUUGCACAAUGGGCGCAAGCCUGAUGCAGCGACGCCGCGUGGGGGAUGACGGCCUUCGGGUUGUAAACUCCUUUCGUUAGGGACGAAGCCGCACCUUUUUUGGGUGUGGUGACGGUACCUUUGUUAAGAAGCACCGGCUAACUACGUGCCAGCAGCCGCGGUAAUACGUAGGGUGCGAGCGUUGUCCGGAAUUACUGGGCGUAAAGAGCUCGUAGGUGGUUUGUUGCGUCGUCUGUGAAUUCCGGGGCUUAACUUCGGGGUGGCAGGCGAUACGGGCAUAACUAGAGUGCUGUAGGGGAGACUGGAAUUCCUGGUGUAGCGGUGGAAUGCGCAGAUAUCAGGAGGAACACCGAUGGCGAAGGCAGGUCUCUGGGCAGUAACUGACGCUGAGGAGCGAAAGCAUGGGGAGCGAACAGGAUUAGAUACCCUGGUAGUCCAUGCUGUAAACGGUGGGCGUUAGGUGUGGGGACCGGUUUGGUUUCUGUGCCGUAGCUAACGCAUUAAGCGCCCCGCCUGGGGAGUACGGCCGCAAGGCUAAAACCCAAAGGAAUUGACGGGGGCCCGCACAAGCGGCGGAGCAUGUGGAUUAAUUCGAUGCAACGCGAAGAACCUUACCUGGGUUUGACAUGCACCAGACGGUUGUAGAGAUACGUACCUCCCUUUGUGGUUGGUGUGCAGGUGGUGCAUGGUUGUCGUCAGCCCGUGUCGUGAGAUGUUGGGUUAAGUCCCGCAACGAGCGCAACCCUUGUCUUAUGUUGCCAGCACUUUGGGUGGGGACUCAUGAGAGACUGCCGGGGUUAACUCGGAGGAAGGUGGGGAUGACGUCAAAUCAUCAUGCCCUUUAUGCCCAGGGCUUCACACAUGCUACAAUGGUUAGUACAACGCGCUGCGAGCCUGUGAGGGUGAGCGAAUCGCUGAAAGCUAAUCUCAGUUCGGAUUGGGGUCUGCAACUCGACCCCAUGAAGUCGGAGUCGCUAGUAAUCGCAGAUCAGCAAUGCUGCGGUGAAUACGUUCCCGGGCCU